CGGGGGCGGAGCUGGCGGAGGAAGUCCGAGGCCUGCUCGGGCUCGCGCUGCCCGGGGGACGCCGGGACUGAGAGGCCGGGCGGCCGGGGCCCUGCGGUGGCGGCGGCGGUGGCGGCAGGACCCCCUGUGCGGAGCGCCAUAUGAGACGGUUUCAGCGGAAGCACCUCACAGCUGUCGACUGCCAGCACCUGGCUCGGAGUCACUUGGCUGCGACGCAGCCCUUCUCUCAAAGAUGGACACACAGAGACCCGAACCACGGUCUCUAUCCUAGACCCAGAACAAGAACAGGGACUAGGGGUCGAGGAUGCCCAAGAUACGGCCCUGAAUUCUUCCUCGCCGGCCAGCAGUGGUGCACCAAUGACAUGGCCAAGAGCAAUCCUGUGGGCCAGGACAGUUCUAAGGACUUGGAAGACGGAAUGAUCUUUGCCGCGGAGAGCAGUUGUGGCCUCCCUCGGGACAGCGAUGGAGAAGCAGGGCUGGGCUCGUUCGGGGCGGCUCUGCCUGCAAGGAAGCGGUCUUGGUCCUUCGAGGACGAGAGGAAUCCGGCCACAGGGACCAGUCAGUGGGACGGGGUUUCUAAGAAGACCCCACGGCAUCGUUGGUCCCCGUCGUGCCCAAGGCCCCAGGAAGCCAGGCAGGAAGCAGAGGACUCUGUGCCACAGCUCUCUGCGCCGCUUGGAGAAUCCAGCCAGGUGGUGGAGGACAUCGGUCCUGACCCCAUCCCUGACUGUUACUAUGGGCUUCUUGGGACCUUGCCUGGCCAGGAGCCCCAGAGCCACAUCUGUAGCCUGCCCAGCGAGGUCCUGAGGCACAUCUUUGCCUUCCUCCCCGUGGAGGACCUCUACUGGAACCUGAGCCUGGUGUGCCACCUCUGGAGGGAGAUCAUCAGUGACCCGCUGUUCAUUCCUUGGAAAAAGCUGUAUCACCGAUACCUGAUGAAUGAAGAGCAAGCUGUCAGCAAGGUGGACGGCAUCCUGUCCAGCUAUGGUAUAGAGAAGGAGUCGGACCUCUGUGUGCUGAACCUCAUCCGCUACACAGCCACCACUAAGUGCUCCCCGAGUGUGGACCCCGGGCGGGCGUUGUGGAGUCUGCGGGAUCACCUCCUCCUCCCCGAGGCAGAGGCCUGCGUGCGCCAGCACCUGCCCGAUCUCUACGCUGCCCCUGCGGGCGUCAACGUGUGGGCCCUGGUAGCGGCCAUUGUCCUCCUGUCCAGCAGCGUCCAGGAUAUCCAGCAGCUGCUCUUCUGCCUCCGGCGGCCCGGCUCCACCGUGACCAUGCCGGACGUUGCUGAGACCCUGUACUGCAUCGCUGUGCUGCUCUACGCCAUGCGGGAGAAGGGCAUUAACAUCAGCAACCGGAUUCACUACAACAUUUUCUAUUGCCUGUAUCUUCAGGAGAAUUCCUGUGCUCAGGCCACGGACGUCAAGGAGGAACCGUCGGUCUGGCCAGGUAAGAAGACCACCAUCCAACUCACACAUGAACAGCAGCUGAUUCUGAGCCAUAAGAUGGAGCCCCUCCAGGUGGUGAAAAUCAUGGCCUUUGCGGGCACCGGGAAGACCUCCACUCUGGUCAAGUAUGCCGAGAAGUGGUCCGAGAGCAGGUUUCUGUACGUGACCUUUAACAAGAGCAUCGCCAAGCAGGCCGAGCUCGUCUUCCCCAGCAACGUCAUCUGCAAGACCUUCCACUCCAUGGCCUACGGCCACGUCGGGCGAAAGUACCAAUUAAAGAAGAAACUGAAUCUCUUCAAGUUAACACCCUUCAUGGUCAACUCUGUCCUUGCAGAAGGGAAGGGUGGCUUCAUCAGGGCCAAGCUAGUAUGUAAGACUCUGGAGAACUUUUUCGCCUCGGCUGACGAGGAACUGACCAUCGACCACGUGCCCAUCUGGUGUAAGAACAGCCAAGGACAGAGAGUCAUGGUCGAGCAGAGCGAGAAACUGAACGGUGUCCUCGAAGCCAGCCGGCUCUGGGACAAUAUGCGGAAGCUGGGAGAGUGCAGGGAGGAGGCCUACCAGAUGACGCAUGAUGGCUACUUGAAGCUCUGGCAGCUCAGCAAGCCUCUGCUGGCCUCUUUUGAUGCCAUCUUCGUGGACGAGGCCCAGGACUGCACCCCAGGAUUAGAAACAGCUGCUUCUGUCUGUCAUAAAAUCGUCUCUUUGGUUGAGAACACAGCUCUCCUUUCCGGGAGGGAAGCUAUCAUGAACAUCGUCCUGUCUCAGCCUUGCGGGAAGAUCUUUGUAGGGGACCCACACCAGCAGAUCUAUACCUUCCGGGGUGCAGUCAAUGCUCUGUUCACAGUCCCCCACACACACGUCUUCUAUCUCACUCAGAGCUUCAGGUUUGGUGUGGAAAUCGCGUACGUGGGAGCUACCAUCCUGGACGUCUGCAAGAGAGUGAGAAAGAAGACGCUGGUGGGAGGGAACCAUCAGAGUGGCAUCAGAGGUGACACCAAGGGGCAGGUGGCCCUGCUGUCCCGAACCAACGCCAACGUGUUUGACGAGGCCGUCCGGGUGACAGAAGGAGAGGUGCCCGCCCGCAUCCACUUGAUCGGGGGAAUUAGGUCAUUUGGAUUGGACAGAAUCAUCGAUAUUUGGACCCUUCUGCAGCCGGAGGAGGAACGGAAGAAACAAAACUUGGUCAUCAAAGACAAGUUCAUUAGAAGGUGGGCACACAGAGAGGGCUUCAGCGGCUUCAAGCGGUACGUGACCGCCGCCGAGGACAAGGAGCUGGAAGCCAAGAUCGCGGUGGUGGAGAAGUACAACGUCCGGAUCCCGGAGCUGGUGCAGCGCAUCGAGCGGUGCCACAUCGAGGACUUGGACUUUGCAGAGUACAUUCUGGGCACCGUGCACAAGGCCAAAGGCCUGGAGUUUGACACUGUGCAUGUCCUGGACGAUUUCGUGAAAGUGCCUUGUGCCCGGCACAACCUGGCUCAGCUGCCCCACUUCAGAGUCGAGUCGUUCUCUGAGGACGAAUGGAACUUACUGUACGUGGCGGUAACUCGUGCCAGGAGGCGUCUCAUCAUGACCAAGUCCUUGGAGAACAUCCUGACGUUGGCUGGGGAGUACUUCUUGCAAGUGGAGCUGACGAGUAACGUGUUAAAGACGGGCGUGGUUCGCUGCUGCGUGGGGCAGUGCAGCAACGCCAUCCCAGUGGACACCGUGCUCACCAUGCGGAAGCUCCCCAUCACCUACAGCAACAGGAAGGAGAACAAGGGCGGGUACCUCUGCCACUCGUGCGCGGAGCAGCGCAUCGGGCCUCUGGCCUUCCUGACCGCCUCCCCGGAGCAGGUGCGCGCCAUGGACCGCACCGUGGAGGACGUCGUGCUGCCGCGGCACGAAGCCCUGCUCUUCCUCGUGUUCUGACGUCAGGGAGGAGCGCUCCUCGGGCCGGGGCCGGGCGGGCUCCUGCCCCGCAGACGGCGCAUCGGGGCCUCCCUGCCCUGACCCCGGACUCACUCGUGGAGCGUUUUCUGAGGACGACGAAGCCAACCAGAGUUGGACCUGCGGUUUCUCCGCCCCUCGCUUCAGGGAUGCAGAUGGCAGGUGGGGGAGCUGGCCCGGCCGUGCCCAGAGCUCGCCGCAUCUAGUUCGCGCCUGGCCCGCGGAGUGGAGAGCAGACCUCGUGGCUUGAGCCGCUGCAGCCUCCCCUAACCCCUCCUCCGUCAGGCCUCUAGUGGACAUAGCGGGCGGCCGGUGAGUAAAGCGAGGUGCUGGGGCGGGGAGCGCCGAGUUAACGGCUGCACCUGGCGGAGGACAGCGGUGAACGCGUUGCCGGAAAGGGACUGGCUGGGGCAUCCACUCCACCACCACGCCUGGCCUUCCUUACUUGGUGCUUUUGGAUAACUGAACAAAACAGUGAGUGAAGGGAAAUGAUGUGGAUGUGGACCCGGCACAGUGUCCAGGGUCGUUGGAAAGAGGGGUUUGGGGGAUGAGUGGUGAUAGGGAGUGGGGAUGUUGGUUUAUGGACGCAUUUACUGGAAACCUCGUUUUACCAACCAGAGAGGAGGCAGCUUAUUUACCGGAGACAUCACGGCUCACUGGGCCUUCACGGAGCACCUGCUGUGGGGCAGGGGCCCUGGGAGUGGGCGUCUGGAAUGGGAAGUGGUCCUGGCUUACGGAGGUGGCAGUGAGCAGUGUGAUUGCAGAGAGGGGCCCGCAGCGCACCUGGGGCGGGAGGGGUGUCCUGCCAGAGCAGGUGGGGCUGGGGCCGAGCUUAGUAACAGGGCGGUGGUUAGCUGGCUCUUCAGGAAGGAACGAGGGAAAGAAGGUUCCUGGAAGAAAGGGGAACGUGAAGGGAAAAAAGUGUGUGUGGUAACAGUACUGUCAGAGCAAACGUCAGCGCUGGUAUUUUGGUACUUAUUUAAAAAAAAAACCAGAAUCUAGGAGUUGACAGUGGUAUUUAAUUUUUAAGUGUUAAGAAUUUCUUAAAAAAAUUAUUAAAACCAAAUGGUUGUUUCAAAUAGAAAAAUAAUUUUUAAAUAAGCAGUAAAAAUAGAAAUUAUAUUUAUUUAAGUCUCUUAAGGAACUCAGUAGUUUAUGAAGAUAGAAAUUCCUAUAUAAAAUUUAGUUUUGUUAAAUAUACUUACAAAGUUAAUUGUAUUUUAUUUAUGUAUUUUUAUUAAAUUUUUCUUAAUUGAAAUAUAGUUGUUUUACAAUGCUAGUUUCAGGUGUACAAGAUAAUGAUUUAACAUUUUUAUAGAUGGUACUCCAUUUGAAAUUAUUACAAACUAGUGGCUAUAAUUUCCCUGUGCUGGCUGAUACGUUCUUGUUUGUUUUAUAUGUAGUAGUUCACAUCUCUUAAUCUCAUGUCCAUAUGUAUGAAGUUAAGUAUCUAUUAUGAUUUAAUAUAAGUAAUUAGAUGGAAAAAAUAAAAGCGUUAUUGAAAAAAUAUAAACUAAAUACUAGAUGAAAAUGAAAAUCUUUUAGCUCUUUUUAAAAGUAUAGUCUUUAAGACAUGAGGCUUCCAUGGUUUCAUUUAGUUGUGAACAUGUUUUUGUGUAAGACUUUCUGUAGAAGUUUGGUUUUUUUGGUUGGUUUUGAUUUUAUACCACAUAAAUUGGGAGAAAAAUAAGGGAAAUAAUUAUAAGCUAGUUCCUGAUAUUUUUCUUUGGUUCAUUAGUUUUUUAAUAAUCCCUUUAUUUGAUAACUUGGAGAUCUUUUUUUAUUUUUCUAAGAAUUCAAAGACCACUGAUAGCAAGUUCUAGUUUUUUGUUUCAGAGAAAGGAUUUCUGAUUUGUCUCCAUCUUCUUUGUUUUUUUCUUGUAUAUAGAGAUUUUGAUGCAGUUACCCAUAUAAAAACAAAUUCUGUUAUGUCAUGUUCCAUUCGUCUAGAUGAUAUUUGAAAUACAAUAAAAACUAUUCUUGGAAUAGAAGCAUUCA